CGAGAAGGGCGUUUGGUGGAUGCCUUGGCAGUAAGAGGCGAUGAAGGACGUGAUACUCUGCGAUAAGCUUGGGGGAGCCGAGAAUAGGCUUUGAUCCAUGGAUCUCCGAAUGGGGCAACCCACCUGAAUGUUUGUUAUUGUAGCCUUCGGGCUCUCAAUAAUGGGCAUAACCAGGUACUUUUUACCUGAAUACAUAGGGUUUAAAGAGCAAACCCGGGGAACUGAAACAUCUAAGUACCCGGAGGAAAGGAAAUCAAUUGAUACUCCCCUAGUAGCGGCGAGCGAACGGGGACCAGCCGAGCCAUGAGUGUGACUAGAAUGUGUUGGAAAGCACAACCAAAGUGGGUGACAGUCCCGUAUAGGAAGCAUGAUUGGACGUAUUAAGUAGGGCGGGACACGUGAAAUCCUGUUUGAAGAUCGGAGGACCACCUCCGAAGGCUAAGUACUCCUUACUGACCGAUAGCGAACCAGUACCGUGAGGGAAAGGUGAAAAGAACCCUGAAUAAGGGAGUGAAAUAGAACCUGAAACCAUACGCUUACAAGCGGUCGGAGCCAUUCGUGGUGACGGCGUGCCUUUUGCAUAAUGAGCCUACGAGU
rnacentral:rRNA from 1 species